UCUACCCCUUGGCCUACAUUUUCUCCUUGC
rnacentral:piRNA from 1 species